UGGUGGAGUGAUUUGUCUGGUUAAUUCCGUUAACGAACGAGACCUCGACCUGCUAAAUAGAGGCGGUUACCCUUCAGGGUAGCCAGUCACUUCUUAGAGGGACUAUGGGCUCGUCAAGUCCAUGGAAGUUCGAGGCAAUAACA
rnacentral:rRNA from 1 species